UACGUAGGGGGCUAGCGUUGUCCGGAAUCAUUGGGCGUAAAGCGCGUGUAGGCGGUCCGGUAAGUCCGCUGUGAAAGUCGGGGGCUCAACCCUCGGAUGCCGGUGGAUACUGUCGGGCUUGAGUACGGAAGAGGCGAGUGGAAUUCCUGGUGUAGAGGUGAAAUUCGUAGAUAUUGGGAAGAACACCGGUGGCGAAGGCGGCUCACUGGCUCAUAUCUGACGCUCAGGCGCGACAGCGUGGGGAUCAAACAGG
rnacentral:rRNA from 1 species